UACAGAGGGGGCAAGCGUUGUUCGGAAUUACUGGGCGUAAAGGGCGCGUAGGCGGCCUGUUAAGUCGAACGUGAAAGCCCAGGGCUCAACCCUGGAAUUGCCUUCGAUACUGGAUAUCUUGAGUUCGGGAGAGGUGAGUGGAAUGCCGAGUGUAGAGGUGAAAUUCGUAGAUAUUCGGCGGAACACCAGUGGCGAAGGCGACUCACUGGCCCGAUACUGACGCUGAGGCGCGAAAGCGUGGGGAGCAAACAGG
rnacentral:rRNA from 1 species